GUGGAUUGGGAUCAAUACAGAAUUCCUUUUGUGUUAUUUUUUUCUUUUCAUCGAAGCUUGUCUUUUUGCUCUGAAUAUUCUUCAAAAAAGAGAGAUUUUGGACUACGUUAUCGGAAAGAAGCAUUUCUUUAACACCAGUGGAUUAGGAUGGUACGACAAUUAAACGUUUUGAGAUUCCAAGAUUUCAAGUUUAUCAAGUAAAACAGACCAAUAAAUGAGUAAAUUAUAUAAAGUAUGUGGAGAAAUGAAUGAUUUAUGGAUAAGGGUGCUCCAGAUUGUAGAAAGCAUGAUCAGAACCUAAACAAAAUACAAGGAGAGUGAGAACAGUUGAUAGCAGAAAACCUUUAUUGACCGUCAAUGUUGAAGAAUUUGGUUGUUGUGACAAUUAAGAGACAGAUACUGACAAAUUGGAACAAGAAAACUUCAGCAACAAAAGAGAUCAAGCUGGAGGUAGAUGGGAGACGUUUAUUUAAAAUGAACUAGAAACUAUGAGCAAUCAGGCAAUACAUGACUUAAUUAAUUGCACUGACAGGAAAAAACUUUGGAAAUGAAAAGAACAGCUCAACAUUAGUAAUGGGGUGAAGUUUCAGCUCAUAAUGUUGAAUUUAGCAUAAAUGGCAUUAAAUAUAAAAUGGAAUAUUUUAUAAGGAUUUGUAUGGGAAAAUGUGCUGGAUGGACAUUAGAUUAGACAUUAGAGAUAUUUGUUUUACAAUAACUUACCAAUUUCUUGCCUGCUGUUUGAUUAUUUUUAUCAUCUAUGAGAGGACAGACAGAUAAAGCUGAUGUCAAGCUGUUAAGCAGAAAAAUGGAAUAACAGCUCCAUUAAUGGUACAUUAAUAUAAUAUAAUGAAAGCUAGAGUUAGGGUAGAAGGAUGAGAUAUGCAAAUCAUAAUUUUGUAUGUCCUAUUUUUAAGAGGCAACAGAAGGUAAAAUAACUUUUUGUGUCUCUAAUGCAAAAUUAUGGAAUAGUCUGCCACUUGAUUUCAGAAAACUUUCAAAUGUUACAUCUUUUAAGAAUAGAUAUUUUAUACUUUUAUUAAACCAGCAACUCUCACUUA